rnacentral:siRNA from 1 species
CCCACAUUGCUCUUUUUGAUGC